rnacentral:rRNA from 1 species
AAUAAACUUCUAGCCUUCAAAGUUAGAGAUAAGAAAAUUUAAACCAGACCUUCCAAAAUAAUUUACCUAAUUUUUAUUUUUUAGUUACCCCCAAUAUAAAAAUACUAUGUAGUAAGUAUAUUAAGAACACAUAAAYCCAUCUAUUAAAACUGUAAAGGUAUUUUAAAAAAUAAAAAGAGACAGACUCCUUACCUCUUGUAUCAGGGAGAAUUAAAUUACUUUCUAUAAAGAAAAAUCCCGAAACAUGUAGAGUUUAAAAGUAACAUAAAUGAUUAUAUAACUAAUCAAACUAAUUUCUUUUAAGAGGAGAUAUUCUUUCAAUAUAWGUAUAYCUGGUUACUAGAAAAAAUAAUUCAAUUAUCCCAAAAAAUCAUAUUAAUUUUUUGAAACAAAAAUUUAAGGAAAAACUUAAAUUUAUUUCUACAGAUUAAGCCCACAAUAAAACAAACUGGGUUAAAACCUAAUUAGAAUUAUUUGUCUUCUUAAAUCUUAAUUCAUUCAUCCAGUAUUUAUAAACAAAAAACUUCCUACAAUAAUUCUAUGAGUAUUAAUUCAAGAUCUAUUUUAAACUAAACUUUUUCUUUACCUUUGUGAGUAAUACUAUUGAAUUCGGCAAAACCUCCCCCGACUGUUUAAUAAAAACAUCCCUUGAAGUUUUCAUCUCAAGUAAACCCUGCCCAAUGAAAAWUYUUCAAUGGCCGCAGUAUGUUAACUGUGCUAAGGUAGCAUARUAGYUUGUAUCUUUAAAURAGAACUMGAAUGAAUGGGCUAACGCGGGGAAACCUCUAACAGUACAUAGAAAUAAAUUUACACUAAGGUGAAAAGGCCUUAUUUAACUAAAAAGACGAAAAGACCCUAUAAAACUUUACUUAUCCUAUCUACACAAACAGACCACGUAGUUUAAAUAAGUUUGUCUGGGGCGGAAAUUAAUAUCAAAACACUACCUUUAAAUUAAACAUUUUUAAUGAAAUUAAUAAAACUUAAAUUUUGAAAAAAACAACAAGUUACUUUAGGGAUAACAGCAUAAUACUUCUUUAGAGAACUUAUCGUCAGAAGUGAUUAUGACCUCGAUGUUGAAUUGAAAAAUCUAUCUUUAGCAGCAUUAAGAUUUCGAAAGUCUGUUCGCCUUUUAAACUUUCACAUGAUUUGAGUUAAGACCGGUGUAAACCAGGUUGGAUUCUAUCUUUUAGCUUUAGCCACACUCUAAUUGUACGAAAGGACCUUGGAAGAUAAAAAUUUUAUUCAACCACGAAUUAAAUUAAAUUCCCGUAAGAUGAACUUCUGAUAAAUUUUAUCUUAUCUAAGAUUUACACAAAACUAGGGACAUAGUUGUUGCACUUACUCAGUCCUCAAUUGUAGUAUAAUUU